AGUAUUCUUAGUGAAGGAUGAGAAAGUGACGGCUGACUUGAUCUCGGCGAUUGUAUUUGGGAGAAUGACAUUUAACUUUUAUUCUCCUUUACCGUUCGGUUACAAAUAAUUUCUUAAAAAAUGUCUAAACAGGGGAACAGCUCUAUUUACCCAGCAAUUCAACCUCCUCCAAUUCCCUCUCGAAGACGGUUGGGAAGUAAUAAACCCAUCAGUACAGUGGUUCCACCUCAAGUACCUAUGAGAGUCAGCAGUUUACAUAACAAUAAAUCAUCAGAUAUACUUAGUUCUAUUAAAACACCAAACAUUGUCAGAAAUAAUGAUACUGGUAAUGGUUUGUUAAAUCCUACAAGUAAUCAGGGUACAUUGAUGUCACUUUCACCACAAAAUGGCCAGAAUUCUCAAAAUGAUGUCAAUCCACACUCAUAUUUCAAUGACUUUAAAGAUAUAGACUUCAGUUUUCCGUCUGAUUCACUAAAACAGCGACGUUCAUCUUCGUUAGAAGAUCUGAGUGUCACUAAACCUGUUUACCCAGAUAUCAGCCAUGUUUUCAGAGAAAUUAGAAAUGAACCAGAUAUAACAUGUGGACUAAGUUUUAGACCAGUUCAGUAUCUUCAUGCAGGUCAAAGAAACUCUCAGACUUUCCCUUGUGCUCCAGCUCAGUAUGGAUGGAAUCCGAAUUUAUUUGGAAAUGAUCUGACAGCAAAUAAUAAUGGUGCUGAAGCUAAUUUUGAUAACAAUAAUUUUUCAAGAGGUUUUAUUGCAUCGACGAUCAACAGUCUUCAUCAUGGAACAAAUAGUGUUGCAACAAACAUGCCAAAUCCAAUGAUUGGACAGACUUCAAAUCCCAAUACCAUAAUGGUUCCAGUGGUUAAUCCUCCUAUUAUAGGAUUUAUAUAUCCAUGCGCAGGUGCACCAGGCAACCCUUUUAAUACAAAUCCUAAUCCUGGUAACUUACCAAAUCCAAACCCCAGACAUGUCAGUGGGUUCAGUGAUGAUAGUAACUUGAUAACUAGGUCUCGAAGUAGUCUUCCCCGUCCCGCGAGCUGGGCUGAUGCGUUAGAUAGUGCUGAUGGGGUUUCCACAUGGACGGAAGAAACUUUAGAUGGAAAUGAUGAUUAUGGCAUGACUCUAACACUCCCGUCGCAAGGUACAGACUUGAUUCAUUUGUCUGGAGGGCCAGCAGUAGAGCAUGAAUAUUUAUCUCUGGAUUAUUUUGAUCCUUUGUACAAUCGUGGACGACGGGAAUCAAUUUCAGCAGUAUUAAAAGACAGUUCAUUCAAUUAUUCAUUUGGAGAAGCGUUUCCUACAUUAGACAAUCUAGCGUAUCCUUCUGAGGGCCAACCAGAUUUACUGUCGGAAUAUGACCAUGCACAUGGAAAAAAAGUAUUUGACCCUAAAACUAUGGAUUUGGCAUUUGAAUCAAUCAACAGUCCGUCUGAUGACAGAAGAAACAAAACAGAAAUAGACACUGAUACGCAACAGAAAAGACCAAAACAUGCAUCAAAGACUGGAUCAGUAGAAAAAUUAAGGAAGAGACUUUUUAUAGAUGAAGAAUCUGAUGCUUUCUGUCAAAUGGUGGCAGAACUGAAAGGUGAAUAUAAAUCAACUGAUUCUAGUACCAAUCUGGGUUAUAUAUUAUGUCCCAUUUUGAAUACACAGUUAUUAUCUACAUCAGUUAAAAUAGUGGUUUAUACUAAUUAUGGAUCAGAACCAUUCAAGUUUACCAGUGAUACUGAUAUAUUAGUGGAACAUGUUAUAAGUCAAGUAUUAUGUAAUGAAUCACCUAGUCGAGGAAGAGAAUUGAGAGCAGAUGAUUUCAUUCUGAAAGUAUAUGACAGAGCUCUCUAUCUAAAGAGUGAUAUUCAACUGGGUCGCUGUAAAUAUAUUCAUCAGUGUUUAAAACUAGAUCAAGAUAUUAAAUUUGAAAUGUUAGACAGAGAACAUGUUAAUCAUCCAUUUCUCAGAACAGUUGAUGAUGAUAUUCAGAUGUUAUAUUUUCCUAAAGAAUACAUUAAAACAAAUGAAGAAGCCGUUUCAAAAGAAUCAUUAGAUAUUCUCAUGGAUACAUUUUACAAGGAAGUAGAGAAAUUAACAGAUCAGGUUUUACAGGAAAGAAAUGAGGAUAUUAAGACCAAAGGUGUAUAUCAAUCUGUUAAAGCAAUUUGUGCUAUUCUCGCUAAAACUGAAACAACAGAAAUAACCAAAGCUUUAGACAGAUUGGAAAGAGCUAUACUUGAUCUGAAUAAACCCAGUGAUCAAAAGAGUCAAUCAACCGAUAAAGAUACAGUAGAUGCAAUACAUUGUGCUAUAAGGUGUUCAUAUGUUGAAGAUUUAGAAGAUAGUUUAGAGAAAUUAAUUGUAGCUGUAAAACAGUUGAUAAAAAUGUACUGUCAAACAUUUCAUACAGAUUUUAUAAUGGGAACAACAGUUGGAAUACCGAAAGACCAUUUAGAGAUAACAAGCCUAACAGAUAAUUUUCUAGUCCAUGUUGCUACAGCUCACAGGUUACCUCCUUUGUGGACCAAUAGGAUUAAUCCUAAAUAUGAGGAAUAUCAAGUAAUAUUUAGUUUGUUUCAUGGUAAUAAAAGACUAGCCCCCGAUGUUUCUACAUCACCCCAAAAAGCCUCAUCUUCUGGUCUCUGUGAUAGAAUAUUAUGGGAUGAAUGUUUACAGUUUGACUCUACACCACUUUAUUCUCUACCUAAAGAAUCGCGGCUAUGUAUAACAUUAGUUGGUUUAAAAUACCCACUGAAUAAUAACCAAGAUCCAACUAAUAAAAUAACUCUCACUUUAGGAGGAGCUACUAUACAACUAUUCAGUCAGAGAAGUCAUCUGGUACAGGGUAACCAGUUAGUACCAUUACAGAUGGGAGUUAAAGCUGAUCAUUUAAUGCCAUCUUGUAAAACGCUUUUGUCUGACUCCGUCUUAUUACAGGUUAAUUUACCAGAUUUUGAUAAAACUAUUUUUUUUCCUGCACCAAAUGUCAAGAAAACAAGUGAUAGGCGACCAUUUGAUGCUUUACAUCCAGAGAUACAUGAUACAGUUCUAAAUGUGUUGGAGAAAGAAUCCUCUUCUGUAUUUGGUGCUGAAGAAAUGGAAAUUUUAUGGGAAUAUCGUAAUUAUCUUCAUGGACAUAAAAAUCUCUUACCAAAAAUACUUCAGAGUGCUCAUAGUUGGGACUGGCGUUGUCUACCGGAUAUUUAUCGUUUGUUAUCUGAUUGGCCAGAAAUUGAUCCAAUGGUUGCCUUUGAAUUGUUGCUUCCAAAAUAUCCUGAUUUGAAAGUACGAGAGUUUGCUGUAAAAUGUAUCAGAAGAAUUAAUACUGAUGAUUUAAUUGAUUUUCUACCUCAAUUAAUACAAGCGUUAAAGUUUGAAAGUUAUCAUAAUUGUCCUUUAGCUCGAAUGUUGUUAGAACAAUCAUGUAAAAGUAUUAGAUUCGCACAUCAAUUUUUCUGGUUAUUGAAGGGUGUUGCAGCUCAAGAUACUGCAUUUAAACGUAGAUAUGAGUUGAUGUUUGUGGCUUUAGCUAGUGUAGCUGGUGAUGCUUUAUAUCAAGAGUUUAAAAAACAAGAAAUUUUAGUUAAAAUAUUAACUAGUACAGCAGAACAUGUACAGACUGGCCGGGAUAAAGACGGUAUACUGCGACGAGAUCUGGAAGCUUUGUAUGAAAAGUUUGAAGAAAGAGGGAGAUUACUUAUGCCAUAUAAUCCUAGCAUUGAAGUUUGUGGUAUUGACAUCAGGUCCUGUUCAUAUUUUUCAUCCAACGCCUUUCCUCUAAAACUUAUGUUCAAAAAUUCCAACUCAAAAGCUGAUCCAGUUUAUGCCAUGUAUAAGGUUGGAGAUGAUUUAAGACAAGAUAUGUUAACACUACAGAUGAUUAAUAUCAUGGAUCAACUGUGGUUAAAAAACAGACUAGAUUUAAAAAUGAUUACUUUCUCUUGUCUAGCUACUGGACCUAAAAAGGGUAUUGUUGAACUUGUAACAGAAUCUGAUACAUUACGUAAAAUACAGGUAUCCUGUGGGGUAACAGGGUCAUUUAAAGAUCGACCUAUCAAAGAAUGGUUACAGAGACAUAAUCCAACUGAGUUAGAAUAUAGAAAGGCUGUUGAGAAUUUUACAUAUUCUUGUGCUGGGUAUUGUGUAGCUAUGUAUGUAUUAGGUGUUGGUGAUAGACAUAAUGAUAAUAUUAUGCUCAAACAGUCCGGUCAUAUGUUUCAUAUAGACUUCAGUAAAUUUCUUGGUGAUUCACAAAUGUUUGCCAGCUUUAAAAGAGAUCGUGUUCCCUUUGUUCUGACUUCUGAUAUGGUAUACGUUAUUAAUGAUGGUGAUAAACAAACUGGACAGUUUCAACAUUUUAUUGAUCUGUGUUCGCAAGCUUUUAAUAUUAUACGUAAACAUCAUGACUUGUUCUACAGUCUCUUCAUGCUUAUGUCAAGAUCAGGUAUACCAGGUGUUACAGAAACAGCAGCUCAAUAUGUGAAGAGGACACUACUACCAGGGCAAACAGACGCUCAAGCUUCAGCCAUGUUUACAAGGAUGAUAGAAGAGAGUAUCAAAUCUGUGUUCACUCAAUUUAAUUUCUUUAUACAUAAUCUGGCUCAAUUAAAGUUUUCUAGCCAUAACGAAGGUGCACUUUUAUCCUUUGUACCAAAAACAUACAGUAUGAGUACAGAUGGUAAAAUAGAAAGAGUUAAACUGUUCUCCAUACAGAAACGUUAUACACCGGAAAAACGCUAUAUCUAUAUAUUUCAAAUAGAGAGAGAAAAACAGCAGGUUCCUUCCUAUAUAUUCCGUAUGUUUGCUGAGUUUGUUGAAUUCAGAGAUAAAUUAGCUGCCAUGUUUCCUUUAAUUCAAUGGCCUAAUUUCUCCACCAGGAUGGUGUUGGGUAGAAGUAAUAUAAGGUCUGUAGCUGAAAGUAGAAAAGUGGAAAUUGAACAGUUUUUAGAAUAUUUAUUGGUCAAGGCACCAGAAAUUUCACAGUGUGAUUUGGUCUAUACAUUUUUUCAUACAUUAUUAAGGGAUGAACAGGAGGAAGCUAGUAAACUUAAAGUUGCCAAGCUAAGAGAACCAAUAAUAAGUCAACCACUACUAAAUACGUCUGGUAUACAAGGUGAUAUAAAGUUAUCUCUACUACACAGAAGAGAUGUCUUUCAUGUUAUGAUUAUCCAUGUUCGAAAUUUGACAUGUAGAGGAACAGAUACACCAAGUCCAUAUGUUAAAGCCUAUCUAUUACCUGAUCCAGAUAAACAUACAAAACGUAAAACUAAAAUAGCUCGUAGUUCAGCCAAUCCAACAUUUAAUGAACUGCUUGAAUACAAAAUGUCAUUAGAACAACUGAAGUAUCGUAUCCUGCAAGUGACAGUGUGGGAUCAUGAUGUUUUAAAGGAAAAUAAUUUUCUUGGUGCUGUCUACAUAAAAUUACACAAUGUCAAAUUAACACAGGAACAAUGUCAGUGGUAUCCAUUACAAAAAUUACAGAUGUCAGGAUCCCUGUUGUCUUGAUCUACAUUACACUUUUAAAGAUAGUUUGUGGAAAGAGGACCAAAGAAAUCCUUUUCUAAAGCUUCACAUUUUUCAUCAAGUGCUAUUAAAUAUUUGACAAUGGCUUAGUAAAAAAUACUAAUGCCUUUGCCCUUAAUUUAGGAACUGGAUGUUGUGCCCCUUGGCAAGGUCCCAUCUUCACUAUCCUGGUUGGUGAAGAAAAGUAGGACAUUGGCAAAUUAUUUGAUGAGUUUAUUCUUAAAAUACAUUGUAAUAUUGUUCAUGUGUAACAAGUUUUAUUGCUUUUUUCAGGAUACACUCUUUGCAAUAGGUGCUCAGAUAAUGUGAAAAAUUGUCUGAAUAUUUUGUGAAUUGAACCAUUGAGUUAGCACUUUCAAUCAGCACAUGUGUGUACAGGCGCGAGAGUAUCUUUUGAAGUGUAUAAUUUUCGAAAUUACAUACAUGGCCUAUAAAAAAUCUGUUUAUAUUUUCAGAAUCCUCAGAUAUUUGAGAAUAUGUUGCUUUUUAUACACUGACAUGUUAAUGUGUUGUAAUCACCAUUUCCAUCUAUCGAUCCAUCCACACUUAUUUCUUGUUAGCACUCAGACGCCACUAGUUUUUAUCAGAUUUUUCUGAUCCCUAUUUCUUUUAGUUAAAACCAGUCAUCCCAAUUUUCAUUGAACUCUGAUUAGGAGGCCGACCACCAUUAAAUUUCACCAUCUCGGUACCAACAAAUUGUAGUUCGUCUAUUUAUAGCAAUUCUCUCUCUGUCUCUUUUCUCCCCUUUUGCAUGCCCAUUUUUGUUGAUUUUUUUUGUCUAGAAUGGACGAAGAGGGUUUGAAUUAACAUUUUCUGCCAGGUUUUGGUAAAUAUUCAUGAUUUUGAGGUGGAAGGAUUUAGGAGGUUAUCAAGUUGGCUACGGUGAUAUGUACGGCAGCUAGUUACAUGUUUUUAGUAUGCUUCUUCAAGUUUGUGUAUCUCCAAAAUUUGGUGGUCAACCUCAUACAAAUUUUAGUGCAAAGAGGCCAGAAUUAACAUUGAAGUCAAUGGGGAAAUUAAUUGUGGUCUGCCUCCUGUAUGUAAACAACCUGACAGUGGAUGAGGGGCCUAAAUUUCAUGAUAUGAUCUCCAAAUUAUCAGAAAAUGUGAUAUACAUGUAGGACAUUUUGAUAAAAAAAACAGUGAAAUGGUAAAAUUUCAAAAAUAUUUUACAAAGUUGUAAGGGGAAUUUUUGAUUUUGGUAUUUAUUUACUUUUCAAAAUUAGUGGAAAAUAUUUUAAUGUGUAAUUUUUACUUUUUCUGCAUCAUGAAAGUUAGACGGGAAGAUAGUAAUCAUAAUUUCACUCAAUUUUGCCUAAAAAUCUGAAAUUCUUCAGAUUACCCCCUGUAAUGCCGUCAAAAUUUUAAUUAUUCAUCUGUUGUAAAAUGAACCAAAAUGUCUUGCAUGUCUUUAUUUCCAUUGUUAAAUAACUUUGAAAGGAUCCAUGUGUUUGUCAGAUAUUGAUAAAGUAUCCAUGUGUUUGUCAGAAAUUUAAAAAUUAUGUACUGCUGAAGUAUGUUAGAAUUUUCAAAACAUGAGUGAACUGCAUUUUGAAGCUGUGUUCUUCUGGCUCAACACUAUUUUAAUCUUUUAAAACCUGAAAUUGCUGCAUUUCCCUUUUUGAGAAAGUAAAAUCUAUGUGUUUGCAGGGAAAUUUCUCUGUCUUCAUUUCAUUUAGACUGGCUCACCUUCCCCACCCCACCCCUCCCCUCCAAUUUUCUUGAACAUGAUAUUUGGAUAUUCAAUUGAACAUAUAUUGACUCCAAAUUAGCAGUAUUUGGAUUUUGUGCUUGAAUUGUAACCAGGCAUUUUAUUUUGCACAAACAAAUAGUUACAUAUAAGAUUUCAAGGAUUUCUAAGACUUUUUGUUUAUGGCCAAACAUGUAAUCCUAUGACAUUUCUUCCAAAUGAGUCCACAAACCAAAAUGGAUAUUUUUUAGAUGUGUCUUCUGCAGCUUAUUGUUUUACAUUUUGGAUGUAAAUCUAUUAUUUGUGGUGAUCUUUUAAAAUGUGGCACUUACAGAGCAAUAAAAUAUUAAUUAAUAGCCUUUUCAUACUACUUUUAUUAUUAUUAUUACAGCAUAUUUAUAGUGCACCCUUUCAUAUAACAUGUUCAGAGGCACUUUACAAAGUGACAAUGUAAAUCACACAUAAACAACAAGAUUAUGGGCAUGUUAACGAUUGUAUACAGAGUCAGUUAAAAGCCUGAUUAAAUAAAUGUGUUUUAAUUUUUUUUUUAAAAGAAUACAGAGAUGUACAAAUCUUAAACUAAAUGGUAGAUUAUUCCAUAAAACAGAUGCUUGAUAACUAAAAGAGCGCUGACCAUAGGAGACUAGUUGACCAGUUUUGGGCUUUAAAAGUAGUUUAUCUGAUGUACGUAAUGUUCGGCCAGGUGUAUAAAGUUCUAAAAGAUCUGAGAGGUAAACAGGAGCUAAAUUAUUUAAACAUUUAAAAGUAAGUAAUAAAAUCUUAAAAUCAAUUCGAUAUUUAACAGGUAACCAGUGUAAAUUAUAUAAAACAGGAGUUAUGUGGUCACAUUUCUUAGUUAAAGUAACAAGUCUAGCCGCAGUAUUCUGUACUUUUUGUAAUUUAUCUAUAAGCUUUAAAGGUAAACCAACUAAAAGUAAAUUAAAGUUAUCUAAUCGAGAAGUGACCAGAGAAUUAACAAGUGACUUAGUGGCCUCUACAGUUACACAUUUACGUAUUUUACCUAUAUUUCUUAUAUUAAAAUAGCACAAUUUACAAAUAUUAUUUACUUGAGCUCCCAUAAGCAUAAAACUAUCAAAGAUAGCGCCAAUAUUACAAGCAGAAUAAGAUGAAAAUAUAUCACAAUUACCAAUUACAACAGGGGGGUUAUCUUGUGCAGAUUUACUUAAUUGAUGCCUUGAGCCUAAUAACAAAUAUUCGGUUUUAUCAUCAUUCAAUUUUAGAAAGUUCUUUGACAUCCAUUUUCUAAUUUCACUAAUACAGUUCUCAAGUUGCAAUUUUGAUAAAUUGAAAGAAGAUGGACAAUUAGGUGUAAAUGAAAUAUAUAAUUGAGUAUCAUCGGCAUACAAAUGAAAGCUGAGACCAUAUUUUCUGACAAUAUCUCCUAAUGGUGACGUAUAGAGGGUAAAUAAAAUCGGACCAAGAACAGAACCUUGGGGAACCCCAGAUGACAAAACAGAUUCAGACGACAAUUUGCAAUUAACUAAAAUACACUAUUUUCUACCCACAAGAUAACUCUCUAAAAGAUUUAAUGCAGAGCCACAAAUACCGAAUUUAAAUUGAAGUCUACGUAGAAGAAUGGAAAGGUCCACCGUGUCGAAAGCAGCAGAUAAAUCUAAUAAAAUUAAAAAUGUACAUUUUCUAUUAUCAAUUUCCAUUAAAAUAUUAUUUGAAACCCGGGUUAAAGCUGUUUCGGUACUGUGAAAUUGUUUAUAAGCACUUUGAAAUGGUUCAUACAAACAGUUAUCAUCUAGAUGGGCCUUUAUCUGAGAAGUAAUACAUUUCUCCAAUAUUUUAGAAAUAAAACUUAAGUUAGAGACUGGCCUGUAAUUUUUAAAAACAUUAGGAUCCAGUGUAGACUUUUUAAUUAAAGGGGUAACAUAAGCUCGUUAGAAAACGUUGGGAAUAGUAGCGGAUGAUAUACAAGAAUUAAUAAUAUUGGUAAAAACUGGAAUAACUUCGUCUAGACAGUCCUUAAGAACAGAAGUCGGAACAGGAUCUAAUGAACAAGAUUUAGGAGCAGACAAUUUAAUUAGCUUUAAAACAAAAGAUUUACUAACCAAGUUAAAAUUUUCUAAAUAAACAAAAUCAUGAGCGUUAAAGUCAAUAGUUUUAUUUAAAUCAUCAAGUUAUCAGUUCGUAUUUUCUGUAUUUUUAUUUAAAAGAAAUCAGAGAAUAAAUUUGCAAGUUCAGUGUCAUUAUCAAUGUCCGGGAGGAUAGUACGCUCAGCAUUAUGGUCCAAAAGGGAAUUCACAACUUUAUACAGGUCUUUUUGUCUGUUUUCGCCAUUUUCUAUUUUAUCAGAGUAAAAUUUAAUUUUAGCAUCAUCAAUUAAUUUAUUCACAUUGUUUUUUAAAGAUUUAUAAAUCUGUUUAUGGACAUGUAGAUUUGUUUUCCGCCACAGAUGUUCAGCCUUAUUACGGUCCCUUUUGGCUUCUAAAAUAGAAUCAUUAAACCACUGCGUAUUGGGACGAAUCGUAAAUGUUUUCGUUUGAAGAGGAACAAGCGAGUCCAAAAUUUCAGCAAGCUUUGAGUGAUAUUGGGUUGCCUUCUCUUGUAUAUCUUGAAUACAUUGAAUGCCAUUGAAAUUCGAGUUCACUAUUUCCGCUUUAAAUUUAUUUAUGUCAAAUGAUUUAAACCUUCGAUAUGUUAAAGUCUUUCUUGUUGGUUGUGGUUUCUGGAUCAUAAGAUUAAAAGUUGCCGGAAAACGAUCAGAUAUUAAUUUGUCCGAGACAGAGAGAUUAUCCAGUUUAAUAUCACGUGGAUUAGUUAUCACCAGAUCGAGAAUAUGUCCACCGUUAUGAGUAGAAGAAGAAACAUGUUGUGUGAGAGAUCUAUUAUUCAGCAUAUCACAAAAAUCAACAUGAAAAUUAAAAUCUCCCCAAAUAAUAGUGCAACACUCAGUCAUCAUCAACUGGUCCAGAAAUAAUCCAAAUUCUUCCAUAAACUUUUGACACAAUUUGCUAUUGGGCAGGCGGUAAAUUGUAAUAAUCCUAGUUUCCUUGAAAGAAAACUGUAGAGAACAAUCCAAAAUUUCAAAAGAAUCAAAACGGUCAUGACGGAUUUUCUUACACUUAAUAGAUGACUUAAAUAUAUGUGCUACGCCUCCUACACAUGAACCGCGAGGGCAAUGUUGUAUAGAAUAUCCAUCAGGUACUAAAGCUGCGAUUGUCGAUGAGUCCGAACAGUCAUUAUUCAGCCACUGAGUGUAUAACUACCGUGCAACCCGAUUAUCGUUGAUAAUAGGCUGGAUUGAUUAGGUAAUUAAGUGAUCGACUAUUUAUCGUGUUAUGUCGUCUACACACCUACCUUGAUUAACUACUAUUCUGCCUUGAUUGGCUGACUUAAUCCUUUGUCGGAUGAUUCAUCAAAUCAAUCCUGAACAGGUGUCAUUGCUUCUCCUUUGUCGGACGAUAUAUCAAUCCAAUAAGAGAGAUUAUAAACUUAAUCUGAUUAACCCGUGAUUUGUCCAUUGUCUCACGUUUUAAUCUUCUUUGUGUCGGACAAUAACACGUAGAAAUUAGUCAUACAUGUCACAUAUCCUGAUAGUAUAUAACACCUCAAAUCAACAUACAUUGUAUCCGAUAACUUGUCUGUGAUAUUGAUCGCAAAUGGUCAUUCCUACAUGGCUAGACGUGUUUUUGUUAGAGGUCUACUAAAGUAAAGAUAUAUAUAGUGUUUUCAAAUAUAUCAUCUGAAACAAUGUAUAGAGUUUUACAUAUGAACUAAAAUGUGAUAAAUAUCAAAACGAAUCUGGCGUCCUGUGAAGGAUCGAUAGAGGAUAAUUGAAGUUUGUGUUGCUUACAAUAACCGAGAGCUGAAGAGCCAAUAUGGCGGCCAAGAAGAACAAUAGUGAUAACUUGGUCGUGACUCUUCUCUAAACUGUACUAUAGUGUAUAUUUGCGUCGUAUAUAAAAGUGAAAUAAAAAAAAAAAAAAAAAAAAAAAAAAAAAUUAUAAACAAAACUAUAUAAACAAAAGCCAUGCAAAAUAUAAGGGCUACAAAAACAACUGUGGGACCUGAAGGUGUUAGUGUGACAAAUGAACUCAAUAGAGAGAAUACAAUACUUAUAUCUCCAGUAUAUGGUGAGACAAAAUUGUCAUCAGUUGAACUUUUAACAUUUAUCCUAGCCCAUGAUAAUUUUGAUAUAAAAUAUAUUAAAUGUCUUCAGAAUAUAGGAAAUGGGAAUUUCUAUCUGACAGUUGACUCUCAACAAUCUAAAGAUAUCUUUGUUGGACUCUUUGAAUCAUUUACCAUCAAUGAUCUGGAAUAUAAGUCGAAAGGCACCAUCAAAGCUAUCUGGGAAUACCCAGUAGACUCUAUCCCAAUAGUUAUCUAUAAUCUAUUCUAUGAAAUAGAUAAUAAGGACAUUGCACGAAAAAUAUCAAACUAUGCCGAUGUCAUCAGAUGUGAGAGGCCAUGCUACAAAAAUUUUCCAACAAUAGAAAGUGGGGUGAGAAUCAUUCAUGUCAAACGCGUGUUCAAGCCUAUCCCAUCCCAUAUUUUCAUAAAAGGCCUACGAGUAGGCGUCAAAUACGAAGGGCAGAUCAGAUAUAAUAAGACUUGUUUCAACUGCGGAGAACAGGGCCACCUAGGAAGGGAUUGUCCCUUGCCUGACAAACGUACAAAUAAAUCUAACUUCUCACCCAUCCCAGAGGAUUUUCCACCCCUGCAAUCCUCUCCAUCUACAGAGCUACCUAUAACUCCUGAUCCAUACAGAAAUAUAGAUGAGCUACCUAUAACUCCCAAAAUGGAUCUAAAUCUGGAAUACUCUCCUCAGGAGAAUUCUACAACAGAAAAUGAUGAAACAGAGUUGAAACAAACCCACUCUGACACAUUUGAUCCAAAUAAUGAUGUGAAUAAAGACGACCAUAAAAUUAUUGAUACAUUAAUGGAUUUUAAUAUAAACAAAAAUGAUGUUGCAGUCAAAGAAGCACAGGAAACUGAGUGUACCAGUGCAGACUAUGUUAAAAUCCAAGAUAGCAAAAAUACAAAGAAAAGGAAUAUCAGCAAUAAUGAAGAUGUAACAGAUAAAAAACUAAGAAUGAAAAGUCCAAUAGUUGAGGUCUUUAAUAGACUGACUAGAAAAAACUGAUAUAAUAACUAAAAAGUGAAUUGGACUCAAUUGUGAAAUCAUAUUAACUGAAUAAGUUUAUAUAUAACAAUACAAUUAUUAUUCUACAAUGUCUAUAGUGAAAAUCUUGAUUAUCUCACUAAUUAUGCAUAUUAUAUCCUCUAAUAUUCAAAGAGGCUUUGAUGAAAAAAUAAACAUCUUAACAGAUAAAUUCAGCUACCCAGAGAUACUCUGUUUACAAGAAACAGUGUCAAAUACUAAAAUUAUAAAUGAAUCCAAGAUAUAUCAAGAUGGUAACUAUAAAAUUAUAUCAAAUAUUUUCGGUGGAAGCCGAAGUUAAAUAAAGAUAUUUCACACACACGCAUAUGGCGCUAUAGUUCAGUAAUUAAAAUGAAAGUACAAAUCUCGCGAGACACGUGAAAUUAAGAGGUGUAUACGUGCCGAAUCCAAUACGACUGAUGUCCGGGAAAAGAUUCUAUUUUUAUGGCAUAUUGUCGGAUUUAUGAUCAUAUUUUGAAUGGGGUUUAUGUCUUUAAAUAAAUAAAUAAAUAAAUAAACACGCUAAGAAAUGUUGACGAAUAUUUCGAUUGGAAUGACAACUCAUAUUUUGACAAAAUUAAGCAAGAAUCUUCAAUUCUAGUACAAAAGGCCCAUGGACCUGAGCUGCAACCCGCUAUACAAAACAGUACAUAACUCUAAAAGAUUUCCACUAAAAAACAAGAAGCUUCUGAAGAGAUGGCUGUUAAACAUUAGACGAGACAAUUUCGUAACAGCAGAUAGGAUUAUUAGGUACAAAUUACAAUUGAUGAUAUUUUUAAUUUUCAUUUUAUUGCUGUUUUUUUCAUACUACUAAAAAAAAAAAAAUAUUUUGAAAAAAAAAAAAAAAAAUUAUUCUACAAAAAAUCAAAAAAUAUUCUACAAAUUUAAUUUGUUUUUACAAAAUUAAGUAUUAUUCUACAUAAUUAAAAAUGAUUCCACAAAAUUAAAAAUUAUUUUCCAAAUUUUCCAGCUCGAGUGAAUGUUCAAUUUAAAAGCAUUUGUAAAUGUGGUAAAUCAAUUUAUUCUGCCAACGCACACAAUUAUUUAAAAGAACUCCUUUGAUUUUCCAUACUAGCCGUUUUGUUCUUCAAUUUAUAGUAGCUUAUUGAGGAGUCCUAAAUAUCGUCAUCAUCCCCACCCAAACCAUGUCGUUUCGCUCAAUGAAUGAUGCAUUUGCAUUUAGCUUUAUUAAUAGUACGAGUAGAGCCUAUUUAUUCCUAACCGAGUGGAAUUUCAAAGAAGAUAAAGCCAAACAAUGAGGUGUAGAUAAUAUAUUAGCCAAAACACAUGAUUUCGAAGCUUAUUUGUUGAACCAGUGACGUUGUAUCAAAUGAAAUACAAAAUGAAUUAACACAAAAUUGGUCCUAGAGAAAUAACUGACGGGCUGAA